UAGCAGGAUAUAAAAUUACUUAAAGAAA
rnacentral:piRNA from 1 species